UACUGCUAUUAUCCAGCACCACCUUGACAUGUUGACGGGAACCUGCAACUGCAUACCCACUUCUAGUCCCGUUGUACCUGCAAUAUGGGGCGGGUGGUUUAUAACAACAACCUGAAAGCUCAGCGGCAUCAUGGCUGUUUUUGAUACAGUAGCAAGGCGACUUGCGGCUAGAGCAACCCGCACACCAGCUGCGUACUUACAAUAAUUCUCUCAGUUGAUUCAAACCCAACUCUCCAGAUUCUGAGCCAGCUUUUAUCCAGAACUAUUGAUUUCUUCCCUCUGAAAACCACCCUCUGCACAAUCCUUGUAUGCGAUCUGGAGCAUUGACUGAGACCAUCCAAUUUUGAUUGAAAUCGAAAGACUGGGAGGCAGGUAGGUCUGACUGCCUUUUGGAGAGUCUGAUACUCGCCGAGGAUCCCUAGUUUCCUUGAGGUCCUUCAAUUUUGUGAGGAGAUGUAGAUAUUGGAAAGGCAUGCUGAUGAAUUUACUGCAUCCCUCAGAAAGAAUGGCAUGCUCUGACAUUUUGAAUCCAUUUCACUGUGCGAAAGAGCUUCAUAUUUCCUGAGAUUUAUUGAACAUUUCUUGAUGAAAAGUCCAUUGAUCAUUGGCACUCUCUAGACGACAGGCUGGCUCUUCUCUCAGAGUGAACUAGAUGGGUUGGAUGGGCCUUAUUCAGAUGAAGCUACAGCAAACUCAAGACGAGUGCUUAGAUAUGCACAGUACUUGGCAUUUUUGAUAUUUAAUGAGCUGAUGUGAUUUUUGUCGUCAAAAAUAUGGAAAGGCAGGAACAGCACCAAACACUUAUUGAAGGUACAAGACGUCAAAAAUGACAAAUACAUUCACGUCUCGAAGAUGGACCCUCCAUGGCGGGCAGCGGCAGGCAGAUAAGAACAUUGAGCAGACUUAUUCUCAAGUAAGGAGCUCCUAUAAUACGCUUAUUGUGAGAACUGGCCUGUCGGCCACGAGUAUGUCUUGUUAGAUCCUCAUGGGAGAUUUCCCUUUUUCAGAGUCCCAGCUCUCACCCAUUCUGUUGAUGGUUAAUGCUGAAAGGCAGUGUACUGUGGAAGGUGAAUCUGCCAUAUGAAGAAUUAUAUUUUUCUAGGG
rnacentral:sRNA from 1 species